rnacentral:ncRNA from 32 species
AAAUUAUCAAGAGUACUACCUGCUAAGGGAUCUGGCCCAAUGGUAGUCAGCAACCAGUUCCGAUGUCAAUUGGAACCCGGUGCUCCUUCCAGCCUCAUGUGACGGGGGAAGAUAACGG